rnacentral:tRNA from 1 species
GGGCCUGUAGCUCAGCUGGUUAGAGCAUCCGACUCAUAAUCGGCAGGUCGUAGGUUCAAGUCCUACCAGGCCCACCA